UUUUGAGACACAGAUAAACUUCGGGUGAUCGAGAUCAACUAUUUUCCUGCAUCCAGCAGCCACAAUAGUCGACGGUGUACUGCUACAGGAGGAGACAUUUUUCAGAAUAACCUGUCCCUUUCCUCUCAGGUUAUGAAAAGAUUACUUAAUUGUAUUAUUAUUCUCUAAAUUUGUAAUUUAGGACUCCGCAUGUGCUAGUAGUAGCAUUAAGCCUAUCG